GCGCUUGUUGUUUAGUGGCAGAAUAGCAGCCUUCCACGUUGAAAGCUGUUGGCCCGGGUUCGAUUCCCGGCGGGCGCA